rnacentral:rRNA from 1 species
UACGUAGGGGCCUAGCGUUGUCCGGAUUUAUUGGGCGUAAAGCGCACGUAGGCGGACUCUUAAGUCGGUGGUGAAAUCCUGGAGCUCAACUCCAGAACUGCCUUCGAUACUGGGAGUCUCGAGUCCGGGAGAGGUGAGUGGAACUGCGAGUGUAGAGGUGAAAUUCGUAGAUAUUCGCAAGAACACCAGUGGCGAAGGCGGCUCACUGGCCCGGUACUGACGCUGAGGUGCGAAAGCGUGGGGAGCAAACAGG